rnacentral:rRNA from 3 species
CUGGUGGGUAGUUUGACUGGGGCGGUCUCCUCCUAAAGAGUAACGGAGGAGCACGAAGGUUGGCUAAUCCUGGUCGGACAUCAGGAGGUUAGUGCAAUGGCAUAAGCCAGCUUGACUGCGAGCGUGACGGCGCGAGCAGGUGCGAAAGCAGGUCAUAGUGAUCCGGUGGUUCUGAAUGGAAGGGCCAUCGCUCAACGGAUAAAAGGUACUCCGGGGAUAACAGGCUGAUACCGCCCAAGAGUUCAUAUCGACGGCGGUGUUUGGCACCUCGAUGUCGGCUCAUCACAUCCUGGGGCUGAAGUAGGUCCCAAGGGUAUGGCUGUUCGCCAUUUAAAGUGGUACGCGAGCUGGGUUUAGAACGUCGUGAGACAGUUCGGUCCCUAUCUGCCGUGGGCGCUGGAGAACUGAGGGGGGCUGCUCCUAGUACGAGAGGACCGGAGUGGACGCAUCACUGGUGUUCGGGUUGUCAUGCCAAUGGCACUGCCCGGUAGCUAAAUGCGGAAGAGAUAAGUGCUGAAAGCAUCUAAGCACGAAACUUGCCCCGAGAUGAGUUCUCCCUGAGACUUAGAGUCUCCUGAAGGAACGUUGAAGACGACGACGUUGAUAGGCCGGGUGUGUAAGCGCAGCGAUGCGUUGAGCUAACCGGUACUAAUGAACCGUGAGGCUUAACCUU